ensembl:lncRNA
UGCCUCUCUCGCCGGUGACGCGAGCCGGCGAUGACCAAAUAUGUCCAUUUCCCUCCCUCCCGCAGCUGCCUCCGCAAGCUCCCGCACUGGCCCGGGCGUCCGAGGCUGGCUGCUGCGGACUCGGGCUCCGGCCGCUCCAGCUCCCGGGAGAGGGCUCCGUCUCUGCACUGCAGGAGCCUUCGUCAUCCCUUGGGAGCCUCUGCCAUUCUGCAUCCCCGGGCGCUUGGCUCCCUCCCUCUGGCGCGAUGCCCUUCAGCCAAGUCAUAUUAUGAAAGAAGAAUCAGAAUGAAAAGGACAAACCAGGAGAAUGAAAAAAAAGUGAAAAUAGUAUGCUUCAGUCUGCAUUCAGACUCCAUAGUUUAUUCUCUAGAUGUGGAUAACAUUUUCCAAGUCUUUUUACCCUCUGGCUGAUCCAUCGAUCUGCUGUUACCAUGGAGAACAAUGAGGUCUGUGGGGUUGUGAGCUCUCCAAGUGAACAGACAUCAUGGAAAGGUGGAAGAUCCAGCUGACUGGGCGGAUAAGCACAUAAAUGCCCACGGGCAGAAUGAGUGUUCCAAGGUGACUUUUCAUGGAGCUUAGUCACCUGAAUGCAUUAAAUGAAUGAGGAGAGGAUGGAUAUCUAUUCCAAGAGGUUGUCUGCUUUAUUCAUUAACAGACCUUUAUAGUUUGAAUCUCUAAACCUUGCCUGUCUUUAGCUUCUCUCUCUCCUUUGUGAGUCCUAGUACAUAAUCUAAGAAUAACAAUUUGAGAUUGGCAACUGUCUGAUCCAAAAUAUAUUUUUUUCACUUAAUAGUUUUUUUUUCCAGUUACAUGUGAAAAUAGUUUUCGCUAUUUUUCUCCCCAAGACAGCAAGCAGUUUGAUAUAGGUUAUACACGUACAAUCACUUUAAACAUUUCCAUAUUAAUCAUAGCUAACCUAUUUUAUUGUAGUUGUUUGUUUCAGUCAUACAUGAUUCUUUGUGACCUCUUUUGUUGUUUUCUUGGCAAAAUAUUGGAGUAGUUUACCAUUUCCCUCUCCAGCUCAUUUUACAGAUGAGGAAACUAAGGUAAACAAGGUUAAGUGACUUGCUCAGAAUCACACAGCUGUAGUUGUCUGAUAUUUGAACUCAGGAGAGGAGUCUUUUCGACAUUAGUCAAGACACUCUAUCCGCUGCCCAUGGAGGGAAUGAUGCUUAACUGUGCCCUCCCAUAACCUUUUAAAAGAGACCCCCAUCCCAUGGAGGCUUCCAGACUAUAUUCUGAUUCUGUCCCUGAAUCCCUCCCUUUCUCCUGAGUAAGGAUCUCCUGGCCAGGAUGCUAAGGAGACAUCUAGAACUAGGAUUCAAGGACCUGACACAAGUCUCGAUGGAAAUGUCUGGCCCCAGAUUCCCAGUGGCUGGUCUGCCCCAGCCUUUUCCUUUCCUUUCUUGUUAUUUGUAUACCCAGCACAAUGUGGUCUCAGGGGGUCUUUGCUUCUGGGACACACACACCCAGACACACACAGAGUCUAGGAGUCUCCCCGUAUCCUAGGCAGCAGAAUGGGUAGUAGAGAAGUUGGGGGACACGUGGGCUGUGCCUGGGACCUUCAGCAGAAGUUGGGGUGAGGGAUUCUUCCAGGGUCACAUAGACAACUUGCAGCUGAGUGAUUGGCUGUUAAAACUCUCCAUCUCUGAGUUUCUAGUCUAUUUCUGAGUCUCUAAAAUCUCUUCUCCCCACCUUUGUUGUUUUCCUCUUUCUGCCCCUCAUUUUCCCCAAGACUUUACCUUCUGUUUCCAGACUACUUUAUGCUCCUCAUCCUCUUCUAAUUUCAUUAUUUUCUUUCCUGUUCUUGAUUGUGAAUGUCAGCAUCCUUCCCUUAUAGCUGUUCUUUUUUAAAAAUUAUUUUUAAUGAACAAAAGUUUAUUUUCCACUGUCCCCCCCCCCCAAUUGGAAAAGAGAUAAGGAAGAAAAGACCCUUUGUAUCUUCUCUUGCAAGCAAAACAAAUUCUUGCAUUAGCUAUGUUGAGAAAAUGUCUCACUUUGUACCCAGAGCCACUAACCUUUCUGUUAGGUAGUAUGCUUUAACAUCAGCCCUCUGGCCUAUAGGUCAGUCUCACAGCUACCAUAUUCUUCUUUCUCUUUUAUUUCCUUCUCUGUUUGUCUUUUUUUUUUCUCCUCCCUCUUUUCUUCCUUUUUAUUUAUUUAUUUUUUUUUCAAAACUCCUGUUUCCUACACCUCAUCUACCUUUGUGGUUGAUCCAUAUUUUAAGACACAGACAAACAAAAGGGGGAAAAAAUCCAUUUACAAGGGUGAGCAGACAUGGAAUUCUUUGGUCCCCUACUGCUUCUAAAAACCACUAAGGUUUACUUUGCUUUCAAGGACUAGUGAAGCUCUGAAAAGGAUUAAUUACUCUCUUUGACAGCUCCUGUGGAGCUGUUGUAGAUCCUGAAGGAAUGAUAAAGGCAAAGAUGCAGUGGGAAUGGCCUAAGAGAUCACUUAGACCUCCCAGUUGCCUUCUUGUGAGUUGGUCAGGACACAGUCAGACCUCUCAUUUCUAUGAACAAGUUGGGUUUGGGUCAAGCAAAAAACUGUUUCUGAACCACAGAACAGAUGGAAACUAUGGCCAGCUCACUUACAAAUGCCUGCCCUGGUCACCUGGGGGACUAAGUGAGAGACUCUAAGUGAGAUGCUGAUACCCUAAAACCACUUCUAAACACAUAUCUUCCAUUGGCUAUAUGUCAGUAAACACUGUCAGGAUCUAUAGUACAGUACAGUUCUACAGUACAUGCUUAUUUAAAAAAUAUUUUAGUUUUUACAUAUAAUUAGAAAAAAUAAAAUACUAUUAAAAACAUAGUAAAAAAAUUUAAUAUGAAAAUAAUCAAGAGACUUGAGCAUUUUAUUAUUCAGGGAAGAGCAAAAAGAGAACCACAUGAAGACUUGAAUUUGUAUUUCAUAUGAUAUUUUAAAAAGUAUUAUUCAUAUUGAAUUUAUCAUAAUAGAAAAGGCUGCUCAUGCUUAUUUCUUCCUUUGAAGAUAGGAAACUCCCUUUCUGGUUUGUUUAUGAAUGUUUUUGUUUAAAUCUUCAGGUUGGCCUUGAGGACCCUUGGUAGAAAAUGAUCUUUAAUAAAAUUACCCAAGGCUAGUUAUUUAUCUCUUUUAGUCUUUGACCUUCAGGUCAAAUCUAGCCUUGCUCUAUCUGAUUAAGAGGCAUUCUUUACCAAGAGUCCUCAAGGCCCUUUCUGAAGACAGAGAAUGAACUUUAGGCUGAUAAGAAAUUCUUUUGGUGGGUGAGAAUAAUUGUUUUAUGUCCUUCAGAGCCAUUCCUAAGGAUUAUUUCUCUUCUUAUAGUUGUUCCCCACUAGGCAGGUGGAAUAUAAAACCUUGACCCCCCACUCAGGGGGAAGACACAAAACACAAGAGCUGGAAGGCAUCUUGGAGUCCUCUAGGCUGAACUUCAAAACAUAUAAACUCUUCAAAAGCAACCAAGAGGUGGUCCUCCUGCCUUAGCUUACGAAUCUCUAAGGAACUCAUCUGAUUCCCCUUUGGAAUCGUUAGAAAAGUAUUUCUGGGUGGUUAUUGAUAAUUUGACUUAUAGUGACAUCGUAGACCACUAAGAAUCUUCCUCACCUAAAACUGCAGUCUUGCUGCAUCUUCUGAAGCAUCUUUGUAAAGUUGAUUUUUUUAACCCUAAGUGUAGGAUUUUACAUUUACCCUUAUUAAAUUCCUUUUUAUUACAUUUGGCCCAUUUUACCAUUAGUGGUAUAUAGAAUUCACAAGAUUCAAUUUUUAUUUCUCUUUAACUCUUAGUACUGUCUGGAACAUAGUAGGUACUUCAUAAAGUUUGUGGUUCAUUGAUUGUUUACUCUCCUUUUUAAUCAAAAUCAUGUUCAAAUUUCAGCCUAUAAUUGAUGUCAUCUCCCCACCGAUUUUGGAAAAAACAAGAACCUAUAGCUUUUUGAGACCAAUCACUUAGGCAAAAAACAAAAAAAAAACAAAAAAAACCCAAUAUCACUCCAUUGCACAGCCAGACUUCUUCAUCCUGCCUGAAUAUCUAUACAAAGGUAGUCUAGAAGAUACUGAUAAUCAAUCCUGGUUAAGGAGUUAGUACAUAAUUCUGUGUGUAAUGGAAAGAAUGCUUGACCAGGACUUUUAUCUAAGGUAAGAAGUCUACUGUUUUACUGUGUGACUUUAAACAAGUUGCUCUGGGGUUCAGUUUCCUUCCAAAGCUUAUAGGAUUAUAGCUAGAAAGGACUUAUAAGUUGAUUCCAACCCUCUUCAUUUUGUAAUUGAGAAGAGAAAAUGUAAUUAAGCAUCUGCCUUCUAUGUUCCACGGACUGUGCAAAGGGCUUUAGAAAUAUGAUUUCAGAGGACUGUGGGAAGUGAGUGUGAUAACAUAGCAUUUUCACUUUUUGUUGUUGUUUGCUUACAUUUUGUUUUCUUUCUCAUUUUUUUCUUUUUUGAGUUGAUUUUUCUUGUGCAACACAAUAAUUAUAUAAAUAUCUAUGUAUAUAUUGGAUUUAAAUAUAAUUUUAACAUAUUUAACAUAUAUUGGAUUACUGGCCAUCUAGGGGAGGGAAUGGGGAAAAGGGUGUGAAAAUUUUGGAACACAAGGUUUUCCAGGG